rnacentral:rRNA from 1 species
AUUGAACGCUGGCGGCAGGCCUAACACAUGCAAGUCGAACGAGUGGCGGACGGGUGAGUAGUCUCUGGAAAACUGCCUGAGGGAGGGAGAAAUCUAGUGGACACGGUAUCAUAUCCCGCAUACCAUCGGAUGUGCCCAGAUGGGAUUAGCUAGUGGGUGGGGUAACGGCUCACCUAGGCGACGAUCCCUAGCUGGUCUGAGAGGAUGACCAGCCACACUGGAACUGAGACACGGUCCAGACUCCUACGGGAGGCAGCAGUGGGGAAUAUUGCACAAUGGGCGCAAGCCUGAUACAGCCAUGCCGCGUGUAUGAAGAAGGCCUUCGGGUUGUAAAGUACUUUCAGCGGGGAGGCGUUACCCGCAGAAGAAGCACCGGCUAACUCCGUGCCAGCAGCCGCGGUAAUAC